AGGCAGUAGGCAUCAAGCGUCCUGCGUGGCUGCGUCCAAGUCCAAGCGCCGUCCGGCCACCAGCGCAGGUACCGAGCCACCGAGGUAGGAGCCAGCCACCGGGCAGAUCCCAGGCUGCCAGCCACCGGCGUCCAGCACUCCGGCUGCCAGCUACCGGCCACCCGCAGCGCAGGCCACACCAAUGGGUAGCAACCGCAUGGCGCCAUGGCUGCCGACGAACACCAGCAGCGAGACGGCCAGACCCCAGGUUAUGUUACUACUAUUAUUUCUAUAUGAUAUAUUUGUCUAAAGUAUAAAGUCUAAACGCUAUAUGAAAUGUGAUUUUAUAUAGCUAUAUAUGAGUGUCAAAUAGAGAGUUAUAUACUCAUAUAUUGUUUGCUUCUAUAACAGUAAUUCGAUUUAUUAUAUCUUCGUCGAGGAUAGUGACACGUCACGUCAGUGUCCGGCCAUCGCUUGAGAGGCGCGAAUGUCUUCGCUGCGCCGUCACGAUCCAGGCUCGCAUCCCCUUCUGACGCGCACCCAUUGCGGGCAGACGUUUGGGCUUUGUGUGGAUGGAUCAUGGACGUACAUACCACGUUUGUUUUUCUAACUAAAUCUUCACUUCUUUGAAUCGCAGAGUCCAACCCAAGGAUGGUUUAGGCUACUGAAGGGCAAUGCACUGAUUCUUAGACUAUUGAAGAAUUUACAGGAUGAUGUGCAGGAGCAGGCAGCUACUAUGCAAUUUUCUAUUUAUUGUACUCUUGCCACGAACUGCUCGUAAUUCUCUUUCAGUUUGUUGCAGAGCGUGGGCAGUAAAUGCAAAGAAAAAACACAGUUGCAGAAAUUGCUAGCAAUAGACUAUACAAGAUAGAGCCAAAUUG
rnacentral:lncRNA from 7 species